ACACACACACACACACACACACACACACACACACACACACACACACACACACACACACACACACACACACACACAGGAAUAAACACGAAUCUGAAAAUGGGCUGGCCACAAUGUUCAACUUCUAAAAUAAAAACAUAAAUAAACAAAAAAAUAUAAAAAAAAAUAUAAUAAAUUACAUUGGAAUCGGAACUUUUCUUAUUUAAUUUUCUACUUCUAUUCAUACAUAUUACCGUUGCUCUUCUAAGUGAGCCAUUGCACUGUAUUUUAUUUUCAAAUCAAAUUUUUGGUUCCAUAUUUUCUAUUUGCAAUCUGCUAUGCUAAACACUUCACUAUUAUUAUUAUUGUCAUUAUUAUUAUUAUUAUUAUUAUCAUUAUUAUUGCACGUAUUUAUUGUAUUGUUUUCUAAUUAAUGUUAAUAGUGUCCGGAAAUGAAGGGAACACUGUGUUGCUGACCAUUGUUCUGUUUUUUUGCUCUUUCGUUAUUUUAAUUUAUUUAUUUUAUUAAUAUUAUUAUUGCUUUAUUUUUUGAAAAGACUCAAGUCUUUUAACUUUGUAUUCAACAAACUGUGUGGUACAAUAAAACGACGAUAAACGA